rnacentral:tmRNA from 1 species
GGGGUCGACAUGGAUUUGACAGCAGGAUGGGGUGCUCGGUAAGCACGCAGAGAGUUGGCGGCCGCUCUCUAUAAUCAAUGACCUUCGAACAAUUAACUGGCGAAAACACUUACGCUCUCGCUGCUUGAUUGAAGUAUAGUAGAUCAGAAGCUUAAUUGCGGCACCAGGUGCUGCAACGAGAUGUCACUCAGAGGCUAACGCCCUGAAGCGCUCUGGCAAAGUGGCACAGCAAAAUCGGGGAUAGUCAUACGCGGCCUCGCACGUUUGGCGAAACUUUAGAGGAUAAGGCGACGGUUGGUGGCUUGGGUCUUGCCGCCGCACGAAAACCAAGACCAAGAUAAGCGUGUAGAAAGCUCAGGACUUCCCUGUUUGGACGAGGGUUCAAUCCCCUCCGGCUCCACCA